rnacentral:rRNA from 1 species
UGCCGUAUUAAGGCGAAACCGCGAAUGGCUCAUUAAAUCAGUUAUGGUUCCUUGGAUCGUACAUUCCUACUUGGAUAACUGUGGUAAUUCUAGAGCUAAUACAUGCAGCAGAGCUCCGACCUUCGGGGACGAGCGCUUUUAUUAGACCAAAACCAAUCGGACUCUGUCCGUCUCUCGUGGUGACUCUGAAUAACUUUGGGCUGAUCGCACGGGCCCGUCCCGGCGACGUAUCUUUCAAGUGUCUGCCUUAUCAACUUUCGAUGGUAGGUUAUGCGCCUACCAUGGUCGUUACGGGUAACGGGGAAUCAGGGUUCGAUUCCGGAGAGGGAGCCUGAGAAAUGGCUACCACAUCCAAGGAAGGCAGCAGGCGCGCAAAUUACCCACUCCCAGAACGGGGAGGUAGUGACGAAAAAUAACAAUACGGGACUCUUUUGAGACCCCGUAAUUGGAAUGAGUACACUCUAAAUCCUUUAACGAGGAUCCAUUGGAGGGCAAGUCUGGUGCCAGCCGCCGCGGUAACUCCAGCUCCAAUAGCGUAUAUUAAAGUUGUUGCGGUUAAAAAGCUCGUAGUUGGAUCUCAGUUCCAGACGGGUGGUCCGCCUACCGGUGGUUACUGCCUGUUCUGAACAGCCAGCCGGUUUCUCUUGAUGAUCUUCACCGGUUGUCUUGGGUGACCGGCAAGUUUACUUUGAAAAAAUUAGAGUGCUCAAAGCAGGCGCGACGCCUGAAUAAUGGUGCAUGGAAUAAUGGAAUAGGACCUCGGUUCUAUUUUGUUGGUUUUCGGAACACGAGGUAAUGAUUAAGAGGGACAGACGGGGGCAUUCGUAUUGCGACGCUAGAGGU